GACGAACGCUGGCGGCGUGCUUAACACAUGCAAGUCGAACGAUGAAGCCGGAGCUUGCUCUGGUGAAUUAGUGGCGAACGGGUGAGUAACACGUGAGUAACCUGCCCUUGACUCUGGGAUAACUGCUAGAAAUGGUAGCUAAUACCGGAUACGACCCUCGGUGGCAUCACCAGGGGGUGGAAAGAAUUUCGGUCAAGGAUGGACUCGCGGCCUAUCAGCUAGUUGGGGAGGUAACGGCUAACCAAGGCGACGACGGGUAGCCGGCCUGAGAGGGUGACCGGCCACACUGGGACUGAGAUACGGCCCAGACUCCUACGGGAGGCAGCAGUGGGGAAUAUUGCACAAUGGGCGCAAGCCUGAUGCAGCGACGCCGCGUGAGGGAUGACGGCCUUCGGGUUGUAAACCUCUUUCAGUAGGGACGAAGCGCAAGUGACGGUACCUACAGAAGAAGGACCGGCCAACUACGUGCCAGCCGCCGCGGUAA
rnacentral:rRNA from 1 species